rnacentral:rRNA from 1 species
UGACUGCGUACCUUUUGUAUAAUGGGUCAUCGACUUGGUCUAUCUAGCAAGCUUAAGCCGUUAGGUGUAGGCGCAGCGAAAGCGAGUCUUAAUAGGGCGUUGAGUUAGAUGGAUCAGACCCGAAACCGAGUGAUCUAGGCAUGACCAGGAUGAAGGUUGGGUAACACCAACUGGAGGUCCGAACCCACACCUGUUGAAAAAGGUCGGGAUGAGUUGUGCCUAGGGGUGAAAGGCCAAUCAAACUCGGAGAUAGCUGGUUCUCUGCGAAAUCUAUUUAGGUAGAGCGUCAUCCGAAUACCCUCGGGGGUAGAGCACUGGAUGGGUAAUGGGGCCCCACAGGCUUACUGAUCCUAACCAAACUCCGAAUACCGAGGAGUACUAGAUGGCAGACAGACGGCGGAUGCUAACGUCCGUCGUCGAGAGGGAAACAACCCUGACCUCCGGCUAAGGCCCCCAAUUCAUGGCUAAGUGGGAAAGCAGGUGGGACGACCAAAACAACCAGGA